AUAUACAUUUUUAAACAUUUUCCAUGAUUUUCUUUCCUUCUGGUAAAUUAAAAUUUUCACUAAUCAUAAUUAAAUACUGCAAUAAAAUUCAUAUUCCUUAGAUAUUGUAGAUGAGUUGCAUUCUCUUUUUUUCCUUCUUAAUAUCCAUCCAUCCAUCCAUAUUCUACCGCUUACUCCUUUGCAGGGUCAUGGGGAACCUGGAGCCUAUCCCAGGCAGCAUCGGGCACAAGGCAGGGUACAGCCUGGACAGGGUGCCAGUCCAUCACAGGGCACAAUCACAUACACACUCACACACCCAUUCAUACACUACUAUUCCAAUCAGCCUACCAUGCAUGUCUUUGGACUGGGGGUGGAAACCGGAGUACCCGGAGGAAACCCCCGCAGCACGGGGAGAACAUGCAAACUCCGCACACACAGGGCCGCAGUGGGACUCGAACCCUGGACCCUGGAGGUGUGAGGCUAACCACUAAACCACCGUGCGCCCCCUUCUUAAUAUUUGACAGAUUUUUUUGCGGACACAUCGUCAGUGGCACACACUAAUGCUUCCCAAAAUGGUGAUUUGAAGGGAAAGGAAGUGACAAAACAAAACAAAGAACCAUUUACAUAUCGCAUGUUGUGUUAAAGAAGAGUCCUGGAGUCUCAGAAGUACCAACGAUACACCUCAGGAAACUCUGAAACUCAUCUAGCUUCGUGAAGUUCCCUAACCCCCCCCAACCAACGGCAGUCCAAGUGUGGUGUCUAAAAUUAUAUAUGUCAUUUCUCAUUUUCAGACUGGAAUUAAUUCAUUGUGAUAGAGUUAUACUUUUAUGAAAUAAAAUAUGCUAAAAUAUUUAGCAUAUUGAGCUGAUAAAAUGAUGCUACAUGACCAGUUAAGGCGAUUCUGCAGUCUCCAAGACCCCAUGCAGUCACUAUAUAUUUCUUCUCCUACAUUUUCACAAACAUUUUUUUAUUUUUCAGAAAUGCAAAGGACAGUAAUGUAAAUAUUCCCUGCUGGAGUCUUUUGAAGCAGAGGAGGAAAAAAAAAGAUGUGAUCAGGGAUGCAAGAAAGAAAAAUGGCGGCUUCACAAUGAAAGGAUGCAAUUAGCGACGUUAAACGAGCGUGGGUCCGAUGAGUAAAUAAACAGCUCGAGUGACAAUGGGCAUUUAUCUGCCGUUUCUCUGUUUUAACUCUUCUACAUGCUGCCUGCCUUUAUGUAGGGCUCGGAGCCGAGGCAGUGGGGAAAAAGGAGAAGGAGAAGGUGAGAGAGAGACAGACAGACAGAGAAAUGGAUGGAGGAAGAGAGACGGAGGUGUGAAUCUCGUUUCAGCAGCAUCUUCAUACACUGUCACUAAACUCCAGUGGUACAUAGGCCACACAUCCUUCACUGCAAUUGAUAAGCACACAGGCCACGCCUCCUUCGCUGAGACUGACAAGCACACAGGCCACGCCUCCUUCACUAUCUCUGACAAGAACACAAGCCACACCUCCUUCACUAAGUCUUAUAGUAUGCGUAUCCUGGGCCGAACAGCACUAACGUUCUCAAAGCAGGAUAUCACGUUUGUCUUUACAUGGCUAACGGAUCGGGCCAUGACCUUCGGCUGCCACCUGGAACAACAAAACACACACACACACACGCUUGGCAAAGAGAGAGCAGAGUGUGUUUAAAGCAAUGGGUUGUGUGACCAGUGCCAGCAUACUUCAGCAGCCUGAGAUUUAAACACCUGAGACAAAGUAGUAUGGAAGCAGGAGGCUUGGACACACACACACACACACACACACACACACACACACACACACACACACACACACACACACACACACACACAGAUCCAUAGGGCAGCUGGGGGUUGUUUAGGAUAGUAGAAAUGAGACACACACACACACACACACACACACACACACACACACACACACACAGAGUCUUGUUCAGUAGUAGUGACAGAGCAGUGUCAGCUCUUUUCAGAUUCAUGCUCAUGUUCAGAGCUAUAUGACCCUGGGGUCCACACAGUGGUCACACACACACACACACACACACACACACACACACACACACACACACACACACACACACACACACACACACACACAGAGACAUAAGGCACAGACUAUGUAAACCUGAGGUAAAUCUAUUUUUACUCCUUUUUUUCUUGUUACACUUACCGAGUAUUUAGCACAUUUUUAUGUCACUCGGAUGAUUACUUUAACACAAAGCUAAUGCUAAACUUAAGUGUCAUGUGUUUAGUGUCUUUACAAAAAUGAUUUCAUAUCUUCACAUAAACAGAAUGAGAUGUUUAGAAUUUCCUUUCUUGUAACUUUGAGUUCAAGCGCUGUUGUCUUUUCUCAAUAUAGCAAAAUCCAGUGAAGUUAACGGUUACUGCUAAGAGGAUUUUUUUGGUCAUUUUAUACAGUGUAGAAUCUGUCAUCACAUCUGAGGAAAAUGUUGACAUUGUCGCUAAUUUCGCCUCAUUUCUACCAUCACUUUGCCUUUCCUUUGUCCUUAACAAAAGAUUUCACAGCAAAUAAUAAUGAGUUAAAUGCUUUACCUCAGUCAUUAGCUAGGUUCUUUUUGGUAAACAUGUUUUCUGGUCGCCUAGCAACAGUUUUCCAUUUAAGGCAAGACUCUACAUGUGAAUUUUAUAGAGAUCACAAUCAGUUUUUACUUGAUUGUCAAAUGCUGAUAUGUUUUUAUUUGUUUAUAUAAAUGAGGCAUCUUCUAAAUAAAUGUAAUUUUUGUACAUUAUAAAAUAAAUAAAAAACACAUCUUUGGGAUGGUGAUAUAUAUAUACUUUACAGUGAAAAUACUCAGAAACAAAAUAGCUGGGAAAUCAUUCCUUUAUUAUUUAAUUAUGAAAAGACCAUGGGGUGUUCUGAUUUAUUUUAUGUCAUUUUUAAGUAUAGAAUCUAUCAUUUUAUACUUCAUUUAAAAAAAAUAAAAAAUCUAUCUGUAAUAUGCUUCUAAUUAAAGAUAGGAAUAAACAUGAACAUGGAAAAACUCUUAAAUGAAGUCAUAAACAAAUCCUUUUGGUUCUGAACAAAGAAAACGGCACAAUGAACAAUGUAUACAAUAAUGUAUAUAUAAUUUAUAAAUGUAUUAUUAAAUGUUACGCAUGUAUUUAGAGACCAUAUGACCUUCACAGAAAGUGUUACAAAAAUAAAUAAAUAAAAAUAAAGAGACGUCUCAUGAUGCAUUGCUCAGCUCAGUUCCUUUAGUAUUAUAUAAUGAUAUAAUUUGUUAUGAACACUUUUUUACUGUAUAUUGCAACAGGUAAACAAUUCAUAAUGCAUAAUUAAGACAGUUAUAAUGGGUAAUACAUUUUUAGAAAUAAAUAUAACAACUUAAAUAUGAAGAUACGUUAUGAAUGCAUUAUAACAUGAUAUGAACAGGUUCGUAGUUCAUUAUAAUUAUGACCUUUAUAGAACCAUGAGGUGUUAUGAACACUACUUAUAAUGCAUAUUAACAAUUCUUAAUGCAUAAUAAAGAUGGCUACAAAGUGUAACAUGUAUUCAUAAAUCAUUAUAACGAUGUGUAUAAUGCCUUAUUAAUGAAUUAUAACAUGACGUGUGUGUGCAUAGUUCAUUGUAAAUAUGAGCUUCGUAGACAUCCUUAUCACCUUAAUUAACGCUUUACGUGUGUUCCUUAAAAUGAAAUGUUUGAAUUACUGACUAAUCAAUAAUUAUAAUAUUAGUAAUAUUAUAAGUAUAAUAAUGAUUUUUUAAAAAUUAUUCAGACUUUUAAGACCUUGCUGUAGAGAGUAUGCGUACAGCAGCUAUGAGAGGUGUGUACUGCUGAGGGGUGUGUGUGUGUGUGUGUGUGUGUGUGUGUGUGCGCGUGUGUGUGUUUAAACUUUCCUGGCAUUUUAUCUACAUCAGAUGGCCUUGUUCAGCUCUAUAGCCUCUAUUUGGCUCUGUAUCAUCAAAUGGAAAUGCGAUUUGCAAAACGAGCGUAAACUCUGAGCUCCAAGCUAAAGCAGCGGAUAACAUCCCCAUGCUGCUAAAUCCCUCACCGCGACUGGAAACUGCUUACCUUGAGCCAAGUGCAUCAUGGGUGAGCGGAGAAGGAGAGGUUUAGAAAUACCCGAUGAGCCCUUUGUACAGUG